rnacentral:lncRNA from 1 species
CCUAGGGAAGAAGGCCGGCCAUGGCGGCACAUCUGGUCGGGGAGAUUAUUUGAAGACCCCUCCGGCUGCUGCUUGAACCCCCGGCGCGGAUUCGAGGCCCGGGUCGAGGCUCCCCUCGGCUUCCCUGCAGUUUUUGUCAGGGACGGAUCUCCCGUGGGAGACGAAUUCCUCAAGAACUUGAGAGAUCUGAACGUCACCUGAAUUCCCCCGACUCAUCUUCUGAACCUGUCGUCUCCCAUUCCCCCGCGUCCGGUGAUGUUCUCGGUAGCGUUCCUGAGAUCAAUCGAGGCGAGACGCAACGAGCGGCAGAUCCAUGAUUUCUCAUCAUUCUAUCCAAAGGAGAAAGCGGGGAUGUAACACAGGCAGACAAUCACAGCAAAUCAUGAAAUGAAUCUUCUCUAACCUACGAUCCGAUGAAGAAAUCCGAAGAGGCAAACCCUAGGUACGACAUGAAAGGCAGAGAGAGAGAGAGAGAGAGAGGAAGAAAGCUGCUGUUGCCGCUGUGAGAUGGAGGUCGAGGGAUCGGGACGGACCUGAAGAUCUGAGCCUACAUCGCCGGAGCACCAGGGGCUUCUCCUCCCGGAGCUCCGUUGAUUCCACCGCAGGGAGGGAAGCGGAGCCGCCAUCUCCGGGAUUUGAAUCCUCUCGGGAUGGGAU